CAGAGAUUUUGUGUUAUGAAGAUGGGAAUAACAUUUGGGAGGAACAUGUAUAAUCAUUCCAGCUGGAUUUGAUGGGGUAGCUGGGCCGCAUUUCCAUAAGUCUAAGUUUAUGUUUCUUCAACAAGUGAUGGGUCUCGCCUUAUCUUCUUUUACUUGUAAGAGAAUAGGAGAAGCUAGUUAUCACUAGUCAGUAUUGUCUAAAACACUGUAAUAUUUAUCUAAUGCUAUUCUAAACCAAAGUUAAGUGAGGGUUUUAAAGUAUUUUAUAAAGAGUUAUGUGCAUCUGUUUUUGUUAGUUUUUCCUUUUCAGUUUUCACAUAUUCUCCACAACUACACAAAUACUCCGGUAUAUGUUUAUAUCCCAAAUUUCAGCUGUCCCCCAAAAUCCUCUUUUUUCUCUUUUCUCUCUGCUCAUUCUCAUCAUUACAUUUCAGUCAAUUUCUUUCUUUGUAGAGAUGACGUUGGUUCUCUCUACAAUCUAGAGUCUCUAAUUUCAUCAAAGAAAAGGUACUGAUUUAUUUUCCUAAUAUUCUCUUCCAUUAUGGUUUUCUGUCAAUCUAUGAAUUCCCAUUCGUAAACCUUUUCCUCUCUAUUUGUUGAAAUCAGGGAAAACCCUUAGAAGAUGAAAUUCUACCCGAGUCUUAAUGGUUACUGAUUUUUUAAACUCAAAUCAUUUUACUUUAAUUUUCGGGUUUUUCCACCUGUUCUGUUAUUUGUAAGCAGGGAGUUUGGAAUUGUGGGAUUUUGAAUUAUAAAAUUAUUGCUCAAGGUUGAUUUUUUUAUUUUUUCCCUUGAAGAGAUAGGUAAUGAGUAUAUGAAUGAGACAGGUUCUUUUGUAAGGGACAUAUAUGGUUCAUAUGAGGAAGGCAUUUUCCUGCAAUUGCAUUCUUCAUAUCUUUUGGUUCUUUAACCUGCCAUCUGGGGCUCUACAACUGUUACUCUUUUUUGACGGAGUCCAACAACAAUCCACUUUUGAGUUUUUGACAAUUGUUUCAUUGUUAUGAACUUCAUUAUGUGUGUUUAAAGAGUUUGAUCCUGUUUUUUAAUUCCUUGGUGAUAUAGUCUAAAAAUUCAUCAUAAAUACCUAGUUCUUCUUUUUCAGUCUCCCUUAUUCUUAUCACUCCCAAAAUCUAACCUUCAUCUAUUUCUCCUCUCUAACUUAUUUGUAUAUAUUUUCCUCCCACUUUUGUUUCAAAAAUCUGCAAGCAAAAUUUUUCAUAAAUGUUAUGGUUGUCAAAUGUUCUUUGCUCUCAUGCUUUUAUAAAUUGUGGUUCAUAGGAAUGGUAGAUGAGAAUCCCAUGCUUGUCAACUUGAAAAAGAAGGAAGCCCAAAGGAUGGCUAAACCUCUUCUUGAAUGCGAAAGAGGCUACAGAGAAGCAUCUGUUGAUAUGUGUGAAUACUUAUCAGAGGGAGAGAGUUUACAAGUCUCUAGAUGGCCGUGGCUUGUUCUGAACAAGCAGUUGAAGAAACCACUGCAAAUCAGGCAGAUUAAACUCCUUCCAUUCAAUGGGUUUAUGAACUUAGCACACAAGUAGACAGUGUGAUCGUGAUAGAUAAAGAAGGCUCUUUGAUAGAUCAUCAAUCAAUUAGAUUUGCAUCUUCCAGUCUUCUCCAACUGAAAGAAUGAAACAGUUUGUGGAAGCUUAAAAUCAUCUUGUGGAAGCUAGUAUGGGAGAUUUUGCCUUCUAAGUUCUAACUAUGUCAUUUACAAGGGAAUGCAAUUUCUAGAGUCUUCUUGACUUCUUGUUCCUAAUGUUAUUCAAAUUAAGAAACUCUUGAGCAUAUUUUCUUCAGAUGCCCAUUUGCCUUCUAAGUUCUAUCCCAAAUCCACUGCUGAUUGGACUAGAAUGAUU